GCUAAUACCGGAUAGUUCCUUGAACCGCAUGGUUCAAGGAUGAAAGACGGUUUCGGCUGUCACUUACAGAUGGACCCGCGGCGCAUUAGCUAGUUGGUGGGGUAAUGGCUCACCAAGGCGACGAUGCGUAGCCGACCUGAGAGGGUGAUCGGCCACACUGGGACUGAGACACGGCCCAGACUCCUACGGGAGGCAGCAGUAGGGAAUCUUCCGCAAUGGACGAAAGUCUGACGGAGCAACGCCGCGUGA
rnacentral:rRNA from 1 species